rnacentral:rRNA from 1 species
CCUACGGGAGGCAGCAGUGAGGAAUAUUGGUCAAUGGGCGAGAGACUGAACCAGCCAAGCCGCGUGAGGGAAGACGGUCCUACGGAUUGUAAACCUCUUUUGUCAGGGAGCAAGGAGUGCCACGCGUGGCCCGGCGAGUGUACCUGAAGAAAAAGCAUCGGCUAACUCCGUGCCAGCAGCCGCGGUAAUACGGAGGAUGCGAGCGUUAUCCGGAUUUAUUGGGUUUAAAGGGUGCGCAGGCGGACGGGGCAAGUCAGCGGUAAAAUUGCGGGGCUAAACCUGGCCGAGCCGUUGAAACUGGUCGUCUCGAGUGGGCGAGAAGUAUGCGGAAUGCGUGGUGUAGCGGUGAAAUGCAUAGAUAUCGCGCAGAACUCCGAUUGCGAAGGCAGCAUGCCGGCGCCCAACUGACGCUGAGGCACGAAAGCGUGGGUAUCGAACAGGAUUAGAUACCCCAGUAGUC